UGCAUCCCGCCUAACGACGCCUGUGCACCGCGGUUGGCUGUCGCAGUGGCCGUGCACCUCCCGCGGGCGGUGCUGCCGGAAGCCCCUCCCGGGGCCGCGGCUCGGUGGCUGGUGGCCGCGGCUGUCACUCCGGGGCGUUUUCCCCGGCCGGCGCUCAGCUGGGGCGGAGGAAGAGGCGGCCAGGGCCUGCCGAGCCGUUGCAGUCUUCGCGGCUGCUAUGCCCAGGGAGCGCAGCGCUCUCCGCAGCUCCGCGCAGCCCUAGAGGCAGCCGAGCGCCCGCCGACGCCACCCGGAUCCCCGGUGCCACCGCUACCCCGGUCCCGCAGCUCCCGCGGAUCCUCCGGCGCUGCCUGUGAGGCCAGGAGGAGGCAAGAUGAAGAUGACGGUGGAUUUUGAGGAGUGUCUGAAGGACUCGCCCCGCUUCAGGGCUGCUUUGGAAGAGGUAGAAGGAGACGUGGCUGAGCUGGAACUAAAACUCGACAAGCUUGUGAAACUGUGUAUCGCGAUGAUUGACACUGGCAAAGCCUUUUGUGUUGCAAAUAAACAGUUCAUGAAUGGGAUCCGAGACCUGGCCCAGUAUUCUAGCAAUGAUGCUGUGGUUGAGACAAGUUUGACCAAGUUUUCUGACAGUCUUCAGGAAAUGAUCAAUUUCCACACAAUUCUGUUUGACCAAACUCAGAGAUCAAUUAAGGCCCAGCUUCAGAACUUUGUCAAAGAAGAUCUUAGAAAAUUCAAAGAUGCCAAGAAACAAUUUGAAAAAGUCAGUGAAGAAAAGGAAAACGCACUAGUAAAAAAUGCCCAAGUUCAAAGAAACAAACAGCACGAGGUUGAAGAGGCUGCAAACAUUCUCACGGCCACUCGGAAAUGCUUCCGGCACAUAGCGCUUGACUACGUCCUGCAGAUCAAUGUGCUUCAAUCAAAACGGAGAUCAGAAAUCCUGAAAUCAAUGUUGUCCUUCAUGUACGCGCAUCUGGCCUUCUUCCAUCAAGGGUAUGACUUGUUCAGUGAGCUUGGGCCCUACAUGAAAGAUCUUGGAGCACAGUUGGAUCGACUGGUUGUAGAUGCAGCAAAGGAGAAAAGAGAGAUGGAGCAAAAACACUCUACGAUCCAGCAGAAGGCUGCAUUACAGGAUUUCUCCAGUGACGAUUCCAAGCUAGAGUAUAAUGUAGACGCUGCAAAUGGCAUUGUCAUGGAAGGGUAUCUGUUCAAACGAGCCAGCAACGCCUUCAAAACAUGGAACAGGAAAAAGCCCGAUCACAUCAGACGCUGGUUCUCCAUACAGAACAAUCAGUUGGUUUACCAGAAAAAGUUUAAGGACAGCCCAACUGUGGUGGUGGAAGACCUCAGGCUCUGCACAGUGAAGCAUUGCGAAGACAUCGAGCGGCGGUUCUGCUUUGAGGUCGUCUCUCCAACAAAAAGUUGUAUGCUCCAGGCAGAUUCUGAAAAGCUUCGCCAGGCCUGGAUUAAGGCUGUUCAGACCAGUAUUGCAACUGCUUAUAGAGAGAAGGGCGAUGAAUCAGAGAAAUUGGAUAAGAAGUCGUCCCCAUCAACCGGAAGCCUAGAUUCUGGAAAUGAAUCAAAAGAGAAGUUAUUGAAAGGAGAAAGUGCUCUGCAGCGUGUGCAGUGUAUCCCUGGCAACACCAGCUGCUGUGACUGUGGUCUGGCAGACCCACGGUGGGCCAGCAUCAACCUGGGCAUUACCUUGUGCAUUGAGUGCUCUGGGAUUCAUCGGAGCCUUGGGGUUCAUUUUUCGAAAGUAAGAUCUUUAACUUUGGACACUUGGGAGCCAGAGCUCUUGAAGCUUAUGUGUGAAUUGGGAAAUGAUGUUAUAAAUCGAGUUUAUGAAGCUAAACUGGAAAAAAUGGGUGUAAAGAAACCACAGCCAGGACAAAGACAGGAGAAGGAGGCAUAUAUCAGAGCGAAAUACGUGGAAAGGAAAUUUGUGGAUAAACACUCUGCAUUGGUGUCUCCAUCUGAGCAGGACAAAAGGAGCAGCUCUAAGAGCUGUGAGGACCAGCGGCUGAGCCAUGCCAGAGCAUCCAUCCACACCCCAGUGGCUGCUGUAACUAGCGACGAGGCCAGGCGGGAGUCUCUGUUCUGUCCUGAUGAGCUAGACUCACUCUUCUCCUACUUUGAUACCUCUUCAAAGCUGCGUAGUAUCAAAAGUAAUGACAGUGGGAUCCAGCAGUGCUCUGAGGAUGGACGAGAAUCUCUACCUUCCACGGUGUCAGCCAAUAGCUUAUAUGAGCCUGAAGGAGAAAGGCAAGAGUCUUCUGUGUUUCUUGACUCUAAACAUCUUAACCCAGGACUUCAGCUUUAUAGGGCUUCGUACGAAAAAAACCUUCCCAAGAUGGCUGAGGCUUUGGCUCACAGUGCAGAUGUGAACUGGGCUAAUUCAGAUGAAAACCAAGCAACACCACUCAUUCAGGCUGUAUUAGGGGGCUCUUUGGUGACAUGUGAAUUCCUGUUGCAGAAUGGUGCUAAUGUGAACCAAAGAGAUGUCCAAGGCCGGGGACCGCUGCACCAUGCCACCGUCUUAGGACACACAGGGCAAGUGUGCUUAUUCCUCAAGCGAGGUGCCAAUCAACAUGCCACUGACGAGGAGGGGAAGGACCCUCUGAGUAUCGCCGUGGAAGCAGCCAACGCUGACAUAGUAACCCUGUUACGCUUAGCAAGAAUGAAUGAGGAAAUGCGGGAAUCAGAAGGACUUUAUGGACAGCCAGGUCAAUAUUCUACUAACAAUCAUACUGAAAUGCAGUAUAAAAAGUGCAUUCAGGAAUUUAUCAGUUUACAAUUGGAAGACUCAUAGUUCCUUAGCUAACUGAUGUGAUAUUAUAGAGAUUUUAUAAUGUACUUGUAAAUUGUGAGCUGUUAGCUUCUGUACUGUACUUACUGAAUUCCUGGGUGGCUAAUCCUGGGCCUUUCCACAAACUCCUGUUUCUAUUUCGGUACACUCGUACUUACUGUAUCCAGCCAGUUCUGGCUGCUGGAGCCCUUGUCUGCUGUACAGAUGUCUUCCAGGAGCAUUCCAUGGGGAGUGUGCUGACCACCAGGCUGUCACGCGCUGCAGCAGAGAGCAGCCUCCAAAAGGAUUCUCAUUAGCUGGCCAGUGAACAGAACAAAAUGGUUUUCUUUUUGUUAUUCAGGGAAUUUCUAUACAUUGUGUUCAGGGAACUAAAACAAAUCACCAUGUGUUUUGUAUAUAAAAAGUUAGUGUAGAAAAUACUAAGAAAAGGUUUAUUGAUGUGUUUUGUAUUCCAAUCUAAGAAGGAGUUGAAGAUUUAAAGUAAAAACUUACCAGUAAGUUGGAAGUCCACAAUGGGUAUAGAAUUAGUUAGAGAGGCUGAAUUUUAUCCAUAGCUUUGCCCCGGGCAACUGUGCCCUAUUUGCUGGGGUAAGUAGAUAUAUUUAGAACAGUGUUCUGUGAACCGGAUGGCGAGGUAGACUUAUUAGAAAGAUGUCAAUUCAUGAUCACCUCAGUGUUUGUCUUGAGUGAUCUUCACCUGUGGGUCAUGGUGUAAGAAAAGGAAGAAAAGUUGAUAAAACUCUUCUGUUUGAUGGACACAUGCUGGGUAGCCAUCUGCACAAAAACCGACAUGCAUUCCAGUUCAUGAAUUUGAGUGUAUGAGUUUCUAAUCUGCUUUAUAUUCAUACACAUAUUACUAACCGUUUCAGGAAUUUAUGACUCAAGUACCUACAGAAAGACAUUCACUUUGCAAGGAGCUUAUUUGUUUUAUAAAAAUAUAUUUGUUUUAUGAAAAUGAAUAUUUAUAUUAUUAUUUUUGAAGUGGCCUGGUGAUAGCAUCUCUCAUUCCUGCUGAAGCAUAUUCUGAAAUUUCUGUACUUUCUGUUAUCUUCAGCCACUGAGUUUAACUAUAGUAAUCUCUAACUGUGUCAGUAUGUGAUACAGUCAUCUCUAACUGUGUCAGUAUGAGGCCGUUUUUUUCUCCUCAGAGGACUAUAUUUACUAUUUAUUUUUGGCCUGAUAUAAUAAGGAAGAAGAAAGGGCCUGGGUCAGAUAGAUAUUUCUAACCCUAGGGUGUUGUACUUUAAUCCUAUGGCUCGCAGUACCGCCAAGUCAGGAUACUCUGAGAUACCGAGUGUGCUAAUACGGGUCAGACUCAGCAUUAACUCUGGAUUUCACACAUUUGCUUCAGAGUUGGAUGUUAGCUCUUAAAUAAGUUCUAAUUUUGUAACAUAUCUUUAAAUGAUAGUAUUACAAGGCCAGUUCUGAGGCCUUUGCAUUUAAGCACUUUGAAUAAAAAUUGAUCAAAGAAAAUGGCAUUCGUGAGGCAGCCCUGAACUGUAAGGCUGUAAGUUGUUACAUUUGCAUUUUCCUGAAACUGUAAAAGUAACUGUUAAGCUAGCUACACCUUCCUUAAGGUGCUUCACUAUGCCUGCCCAGCUGGUGAGCCAGAGGUCAGAGGCCAGCAGUCAGUGGUCCCCUUGCUCUGCAGGUGGGAACUUGUAAGGUCAGGACCUUCCUGUUGGCUUGAGUUUCUUCUGUGUCACCCAGGAGUGCUCAGGUGCCCCUUUCACUGUGGUCCAUGUGCUGUUGUGUGUAAGGAUGGGAGCUUCAGGUAUCAGUAGGAGAAGAUUUCUUUUUCAACUUUAAUGAAAACCUGAAAACAGGCCUCACUUUAAAACGUUUUUGAACCAUCUUCAAAUUUUAAUUUAGAAGUUAAAAAGUAUUAAUUCUGCCAGCAAUGCCAGGUUAAAAAUAAGAUUAAAAGAAACUAUUUGAGAAAUAUCUUGAAAAUAAUUAGAGUUGAAGGUCAGUUUUAGGGCCCAGUGUUUGAGGUGACUAGUUGGGGUGUGUGCACGUGGCGUGGUGAGCACCCAUGCUCUCUGGUUCUUCUCUUCCCGUCUUCCCGUCUGAGUCCUUCCUGGCACAGCAGAUGUGCCUGGUUCCAGCAGCAGCUCUUUGCCUGCAGACUUUGCCUGACGGCUUCCUAGCCAUAGGAAGGAAAAACAUCGUAGGUACAGCAAUUGUCAGUCUGUUGAUAGUGACAGGCCUGUUAUUUAAAGGACUCAGUUAUAAUGCUUAACAAUCAUGGACUUAUAUCCAAGAAACCUCAUUUCUCAACUUUAGUAUCUAUAACCCUGUGGACUCCCAUUUUUCAUGGACAGUUGUAUUAAGAGCAAACAGCUUUUAAAAGGAAGGUGGAUUCUCUUUCAGCAGCCUAGAACUCUUAGGAGGCCUGGCCAGGUCAGAGAUAACACACAUUGCUCUCAGUGGCGGGCAUCAGUUAGGUGCUUCCUAUCCCAGUUCUGGGUCAGGGUCACCAGGCUCUCAGCCAGUCACUGCAUUAGGGAGCCACUUCUGGUCAUGUAACCGUAGCUUCUGGAACCUCUGCAAUCAUUUCUAGAAGGAAAAUACUCUCAACUAGUGGGACAGGAUGAUGCCUGUGGUCACAGAGGGUGGGUGUCACAUUCUUCUGAGAACACUCGUUUCAGUAGUGAGGUCACCGAACCCUCUCAGUCGGCCUAACUGCUGUCGUGAUGAAUAGUCUGAAUACCAAAAACUAAAAGUGAAUUUAAACUGUCAGUGGAAACACAGAAGUCUAUAUUUUAAAACUUCAGAAUUGUUCAGGCACAUAAAACACUUGAACUUUCUGAAUGGGAAAAAAUGUGGUUUAGUAAUUUAAAUAAUAUGCUUAGCUGAUUUUUGUAGUGAGCUGUUCAGUGUAUUAAUAGGAAGAUUCUAGGAUAAUGUCUCCCAGAAUCUUGUUUAUGUGUUCUAGUUCAGACAAAUUAGAUUUGCCUUGGGAAAUUUUUCAAGUGAUUAAAAUUCUCCUUAAAGUUUAGCUAAUGAAGUUCACUUUGUGUUGGCUAUUUUAAGUAGAUCACGAUUGUUGCUUCUGACAACACAUUUUGAGGUCUAAGGAAGGUAGCAUACUAAUAGUGCAUCAUUAACUUUAAAAAACUGAAUUUACCAAGUUGUGUGUGUGAAACUAGAAACUUCCCUUCGUAGUGUAUGAACUCUUCAAUGUUUGCAGUCCGUGAGACCAAUGACGAUCACAGCGCCGCGGCGCUCUCCUCCGAGAACGUGUGUCAUUCCUCCAGUGACGGGAAGGUCUUAGAGUUAGUUGUGCAUGGUAGAAUGGUUCCACUAAAGAUGUACUUGUAUAAUAUGUGCUAGGUGAUUUAAAAUCAAACACUAGAAAAUCAUACAGAAAAACAGCUCGUUACACAGAAUAUGCAUCGCUGAAUGUAGAAGCCAUAUAUUGCCAUUGUACUGUUGUAAUACUUGAGAACGCUCAUCUGGUGCUACCUGUGACUGACUUGGUGUCAGCGUCUGCUAGAUCCUCCUCCUGUUUCUUCCUAAUAUAUAAUGCGUGCCUUUUAUGUUACUUCUGGUGUUGAAUGGUAAAACCAAUGUGGUAUUUUUGUAUUAUAAUCUGCACUUUACACUUUCUUGGAAAGUAAAAUUCUAGACUAUCUGAAUAGUAUUUUAAAAUAUUUAUAAUGUUUACAAUAAAUAUUUUACAUAUUUUAAUUCAACAUCUACAAAGAGAAAAAAAUUAAACUAUUUUGUAUGGUUUGUUAACUGUUAUUUAACGUUGCGCUCCUGCUCCUCUCAGUUUAUUUUGCGUCCAGUAGGAUGGCCAAGCCCAGGAAUGGGCUGUAAUUUGUCAUGUGCAUAACUGGACAGUGGAGUAGCCUUUAGUGUGCUUCAGUCGUGGUGAGCGAGCCUUUCCUGGCCUCCAGCUGGCCUGGGAGAGGCUCUUCUCACUGCACUUUCCCGUUUUAAAGUAGAUUGAUUGGACUCAGCUAAUUAUUCCAUGUAUCGAUUAAAUUCCCAGGAUUCUCAUAUAUUGCUUUUUGCAUAGACUAAAUGUUAAAAGGCACUAAAUGUUAAGAGUACUAACCUCGUUUUAUUAAAGUCCAUGUGUUAUGUUUUUAGGUCUUUUUACUAGACUUAUCUGUCCCUCAGUUGUUUUCUAAUUCUCUAGCUUUUGGUAUGACACUUGUAUCUUCCACAAUCUUGUUUUCAACGACUUGCCAAGUUUACUCUACUGUUAACAAUAACUUAGUAACAAGAUUGUCAUUAAAUGGGACACAUGGUGUCUUAGGGGAACGAUAAAACUAUGUGGUGACAAGAAUCACACAAAACAGUGUUUUAUGCUAAAGUGAAGAGAAGCAUGCCAGGAGUCUGUACCAAGGUCAUGCUGAGCAGGCGGUGUCUCGAGGAAUGCAUCAUUCCAAAACAAGAUUUCUCCUUCGAGGGUUAAUCUGUAUGUAUGUAUAUAGUUCCUCAGUAAGAGAAAUUGUGUCCAGUUUGUUAUCAUGUCCUUAACGUACAUCUCGGCAAGAGUGUUGAGUGUGCACACAUGUGAGCAGAUUCGCAGGUUUCCUGUCCCGUUUUGCUUAGUAUUCUUGCUCAUAAGUCAGGAGAUGGCGUGGAGCUCUGGUUUCAUGGUUACAUUCUGCCCUUUUGAUUUACUGAGUUUAGUAAACAGUGGAUCAGAUACAUUAGUUCUGAACCUCGAAGCAUGUGUGAACUACUUUUUACAAACAACUAUUUCAGUGUAAAGUGCUCCUGGUUGAUGAUAGUGCAUGAAGCUUGUCCCGCCUGAUGUCUAGGCAGCCCAUCACCUUAGUAACGGGUGUUCAUCAGAACCUUCACUAGUAUCCGGCUUUAACUUUUAUCCAAGACAGUAUUUUCUUAUCAAACAUGCUGUUUACUUCAUUUCAAAUAACCCCUCUUCUUUCCUGUGCUAAUGAUUGUGUUUCUUCGCAUUGCUUUCAAACGCUUGCGUCUCGCUCCUCUCUAUCUCUGAGCUUCCCUCUGCGGCACAUCUGAGACCCUUCUCUCAGGUGAUGAAACUUACCAGGAUAUUUUUCGUGAUUUUUCUCAAAUGGCAUCCAAUAAUCCAGAGAAACUCAAUCGUUUCCAGCAAG